rnacentral:rRNA from 1 species
UACAGAGGGUGCGAGCGUUAAUCGGAAUUACUGGGCGUAAAGCGUGCGUAGACGGUUAUUUAAGUCGGGUGUGAAAGCCCCGGGCUCAACCUGGGAAUUGCAUUCGAGACUGAAUAGCUAGGGUACGGUAGAGGGAAGUGGAAUUUCCGGUGUAGCGGUGAAAUGCGUAGAUAUCGGAAGGAACCUCAGUGGCGAAAGCGGCUUCCUGGUCCAGCACCGACGUUCAGGCACGAAAGCGUGGGGAGCAAACAGG